rnacentral:lncRNA from 1 species
AACAGUCCCAACGGUCGUCUUUACAUAGACGAAGCAGGAAAGAUCAGACAUUCCAUCCUCCGGGUGUUUGUCACAGUUCAGCAUCCAAGCUGAAUCUCUAGUUACCAUGGAUGGAGAUGACCUUUCCUGGCUAUGCUAGCCAGCUUUCUGACCUCAAAAAAAACACCAGCAUUUAAGGCCAAGAAUCUGAAUCUUUGAGUUUCCUUCCCCCACACCCAAUCCACCUGCUGAAGCCUAGUGACCAGCUGAACAGAACGGAGAGGUAGAAGAUUCAGGAGAUAUUGAGGGUCAGAAAAAUAUCAAGAACAGGCAGCUGAUUCUCAGGUGUCAAGCUCAAAAUCAGCAAGAAUCGGGUAGCAGAUGCAGAAGUCUGACUGGGAGCGAGAUCCCUCUCCCCUCUCCACCACGCACUAGGAGUGGAUACUAAAGCCAGAGGAAGGCUGACAACAUGAGGUGUUUCACAAAGGACAACAGGACGACAAGAGCUACCCUCAUCAUACAGAGAUCAAAAAGUAACCAGACGACAUGAGAGCCCUUCCCAACUCCAGCUAAGUGUCAGUGAGAAGGGACAAGUCGCAGCAGGGCUUUUCCCUGAGUUUGUGUGGAAGGAACAAGAACCGUUCUCUCUAUCAGGAACAACAGAUAACCAGAGCCAGAAAGAACACUUCUGUUAUCAGAAUGAUGCUCUACCACACACAUCUAUCUGAUCUUGACCACUAGAAUGAAGCUCACCCUCACUGUCAAGUGCCAGGUUUGAGAGCAGGGCAUCCGAACUGGCCUUUCAAUCCUAGGGCCCUCUUCCCUACUGUUUCCAAACCAACUAAGCCAAAACUGUAGUUCUGGUGAGGCUGUUGAGAAGACUCAGAGGUUAAAAGUACUUGCUGCUCUAUGGAGGACUCAGGUUCAGUUCCCAACACCCAUAUGAUCGCUCAUGAUCAUCUACAACUCCUGUUGCAGUGACUCUAGUGCCCUCUUCUGGCCUCUACAGGCUUCUGCAUGCCCGUGGUGCAUAUAAACUCAUACAGGAGAAUACACAUAUACAUAAAGUAAGUAUCAGAUGGACAUGUGGUAGAAGCCUUUAAUCCAAGCAAACCGAGAUAUAAAGGCAGGUGGGGUGGAUCUCUGUGAGUUUGAGGCCAGCCUACUCUAAACAAUGAAUUCCAGGCCAGUCACAGCUACAUAAUGAUUCUCCCUCCCUCCUUUCCCCUCCCUCCAUCCCUCCCUCUCUGUUUCUAUCUCUGUCUCUCUCUGUCUCUUUCUCUAUGCGUGUAUAUCUGUCUGUCUGUCUCCUUCCUCUCUCCCUCCCUUCCUUCUCCUCUCCUCUCCUCUCCUCUCUCCUUUCUCUCCUCUCUCUUUCUCUCUCUCUCUCUCUCUCUCUCUCUCUCUCUCACACACACACACACACAACACACACACCAAAUAAUAGAUUUAAGAAACUGAAAGUUUUCCUUAUUUAUCUUACCUGGAAAAAGCUAAACAGUUAAGAAGUACCAAAAAAAAAAAAAUGCAUUGAUAGCUAGACUUUAAAAAAAAAAAAAAAAAGGUGGGGGAAGGGGGAGCCUGCCGCGGCAUGACACUUCGUGGGUGCUAGAUGCUCGUUUAUGAAUAUGUGCACUGUUAAUCAACAGGCUCUUUGUGGUUGCAGUAACAGAAAUGUGAUUAGACAGGGAGCUCAGAAGGAAAGAUGGGCCUGGUAGAGUCCUGGGAAGGUACAUCCCAGAAAAGGCACAAGCAGCCAGCUUCCAGGGCAGAGGUAUCCCAGCCAUGCAGCUUCACGUUUUCCUUCUUCUGCAGAGGUUCAUACACCCACAAGCACCAUAGCCAAGGCUCACCACAACCUGGAGAGACUGGGGAAGGCCUGCUUGUACAGGCUUGCUUGUGCAAGUGUGUAUGAGCUGCCCAUCCAGGACCACCAAGUGUGGCCAGAGGGUAGAUAGUACAGUAUGGUGGUGACCCUCUUGAUCACUGUGUUCUUGCUAUGUACAAAAGAGGGGUCAAGCAAUAGGUUGUUGUGUAUACGAUCCCAAAGGCAAAGGAUUAAUGAGAGAACCAGGAAAGGUUAAAAGUAGGCCACGAAAGGGCUAUGUGGCUAUAAAGAUAACCACCCUUUAUCUGCACUGUAACCUGAUACCCUGGUCAUCAUGGGUUAGUAAGAAAAUGUCCAUGGCUCUUGUGUCUCUUGCCUCUAUAAAGCUGUUGCAUAUGCUACCUAGGAAACAGCAAGACUCUAGACUCCAAACUAUAUCUCCGGUCACUAGAUAGUGGUAUGCUAAACCAGGGGAAACCUUUGCUCUGCUUUCCUCAGAUGUCUGGAUACACAGGGAUUACUUCUGCACCCAUGAAGCCCACCUGCCAGCUCUCACGCUCCUCAGAGUGAAGUCACAUUGAGGGAAAGAGAUGGUUAGUGAGGGAGAGAAGAGAUGCAGGGAUACUGGUCAGGAGGCAAGGUGAGGGUUCUGUGACAUUGGCAUGAGAGACAAAGGUCCUAGCCCAGGUGCCUCAAGUUGUCCUUUGACCCUGGAACUCCCAAGCCUUCUUAGAACCUCAAAGCCCAGUCCUCGAUGGACGCUAAGCUGAUUGAGGUGGGGACAGAGGCAACAAGCCCAACUGUUGACCUCAUGUCCUUGUGGGUAACACUGCAGACAAUUGUAUAGCAAAUGGAGAUAUUCUCUC